CACGCAGGCGGUUUGCUAAGUCAGAUGUGAAAGCCCCGGGCUCAACCUGGGAACUGCAUUUAAUACUGGCAAACUAGAGUAUGGGAGAGAGAAGUAGAAUUCCACAUGUAGCGGUGAAAUGCGUAGAGAUGUGGAGGAAUAUCAGUGGCGAAGGCGACUUCUUGGCCCAAUACUGACGCUCAGGUGCGAAAGCGUGGGGAGCAAACA
rnacentral:rRNA from 1 species